ACGAGUUAGGGUCUUUUAGGCCCGACCUCCCAACCCUAUGUUUAUUGAACCUCUGUUGCUUCGGCGGACCCGUCUCACGGCCGCCGGAGGAUUGCCGCGAGGCGUCCUCUGGCCCGCGUCCGCCGGUGGCCAACCACACAAAACUCUGAAUAAAUCGUGUCAUUAUGUCUAAGUCUAUGAUUAAAUUAAAGCA
rnacentral:misc_RNA from 1 species